GAUGAACGCUGGCGGCGUGCCUAAUACAUGCAAGUCGAGCGAACAGACGAGGAGCUUGCUCCUCUGACGUUAGCGGCGGACGGGUGAGUAACACGUGGAUAGCCUACCUAUAAGACUGGGAUAACUUCGGGAAACCGGAGCUAAUACCGGAUAAUAUAUUGAACCGCAUGGUUCAAUAGUGAAAGACGGUUUUGCUGUCACUUAUAGAUGGAUCCGCGCCGCAUUAGCUAGUUGGUAAGGUAACGGCUUACCAAGGCAACGAUGCGUAGCCGACCUGAGAGGGUGAUCGGCCACACUGGAACUGAGACACGGUCCAGACUCCUACGGGAGGCAGCAGUAGGGAAUCUUCCGCAAUGGGCGAAAGCCUGACGGAGCAACGCCGCGUGAGUGAUGAAGGUCUUCGGAUCGUAAAACUCUGUUAUUAGGGAAGAACAAAUGUGUAAGUAACUAUGCACGUCUUGACGGUACCUAAUCAGAAAACCACGGCUAACUACGU
rnacentral:rRNA from 1 species